CAAUGUCACCCCUGAAGGCUUGCCCGGCGGCGCUCCGGUGAAAUCCGAUGAGGAUAGGGUCUGCAAAGGGGCUACACACGACGAUGUGCUCACCGGAGGGGUUUCUACUGUAGGGAUGGAGGGCGGAGAGUGGCCGGCGGUGGCACUCCACGGGGAGGUCUCGGGCGUGGCGGUAGGGCUUCAUCUCCGACAACGACUGUGGCGGAGCAAGACAUGCAGUUGAACUCUUAUGGUGUAAUAAAAGAAGUUGGGACCUGUAUUAGGCCCUGUUUGGCAUGGCUCCAACUCCGGGUGGAGCUACUCCACUCCAGAACUCCACAUGGAGCCAGCUCCGCUCCAAAACUCCAGAACAAAAAUGAGGUGUUUGGCUAGAUGGGUGCUCUCAGCUCCAAAAAAGAUCGAUUUCAGUGUGGAUUGCCAUUGUUGCCCCCCAAUUAAGGCCCCACUUGUCAUCCUCUCUAUCCCAUCUUCUUCUUCCCCUUUUUCCACUGCAC
rnacentral:lncRNA from 1 species